AUGGCGAUCGAGACGAAGAACAAGGGCAAGGAGGCGGUGUCGGCAAUGGAGAAGGGCAAGGAGGUGGUGCCGCUGUUGGACGAGGUGCCGCUCACGGACGAGGACGUGGUGGUGGAGGAGCCCCACAGCGGCAAGUGCCGGAACUAUGGGCACUACCAUGAGGGUGGGCCAACUCACUUCUGCAAGGCUGAGUCGCGGGAGGUGCCCAACAAGAAUGCGCGGGACUGUCGAGUUGGAGCCACGAGGGAGGAGAAAGGGGAUCGAUUGCCCAAGCAUUGCGGCUCACGCGUGACCCCUGUGGCGGGGCGGGGUUCUUCUUUCCGGCCAUUGUCGAUGCAGAGCAAUGGGAAUACGCCGCCACUGUUCUCCCUCGGGAGUGGCCGUGGGAUGCCACCACCUGCUGUUUAUUCCCGGAAACAGGGGGCUAGCGCCGAUGGCGGGCCUUCUGCCGUACAGAGAGACGGCGGCGGCAACCACCUUCCCAGCAGCACUGACGUUGGCCACGGCCAACCAGUGAGCGAGAGGCCGCUUCAGAUCGUUCCUGCUAACACCAGAGCUGGGACGGGCAAGAACAUGCCACCGGCCGGUGGCAACGGCGGCUCUGCCGUGCCGGCAAACGGCCGCGUACGGAAGACACGCGCACCCAAGGGGAGCAGCACUCUAGGGGAAUCCAGGAAGGUGCCCGGCAAGAAAUCUGACGCCGGUGAACCGGCGGGCAUGCACCAUGGCACCCAAGACAACAACCAGCUGAAGACUGUCUCGGCUCCAAGCAACAGCAGGAAUAGGAAGAGCACGGCCUCUGCCUCGGCCGUGCCAUCGAGCCGGAGGCCUCGCAGGAAUAACAGUAGCAUGUCCGGCACGGCGGCGGCCAGAGCCAAGAAGCACACCAUCCUGACAUGGCUGAUCGACUCCGGUGUGCUCAAAGAGAACGAGAAGGUCUCGUACGUGGACAGCACCAGCUUCGCCACGAAGGCCUCUGGCGCGGUGACUAGGGCCGGCAUCCAGUGCACCUGCUGCAACACCGCGAUGGCGCCCCCGACCUUCUCGUCCCACGCCGGCUCUGAGGACUCGACACCGUGGGAGAGGCUCCUGCUAAAGUCCGGCAAGUCGUUGCUGGAGUGCGUGCGGGAGGCGUGGCAGGGGGAGGACCUGAGGACCUUACACGCCAAGCAGAAGGCACGGGCUGCGCUGGAGAAAGAACGGGAGAGGAGCACACAGGAGAAGAAGCGUGCUCUGCUGCUCGCCAAGCAGAGCAGGAAGGAACCAGCCCUCGCCCUCGACGGGACCAACUAUGGGGGGGACGACGACCGGAGCGACGACGCGUGCGGUGUGUGCGCAGACGGCGGACAGCUGCUGUGCUGCGACAGCUGCCCGUCCACCUUCCACCCGGAGUGCCUCGCCGUGAAGGUCCCUGAGGACUGCUGGGUCUGCCACUACUGCCGCUGCUUCCUGUGCUCCGCCGAUGAUGACGGCCAUGGCGGCCUCUCCGACUGCAACCAGUGCACCCGCAAGUAUCACCAGCACUGCCGCGCGCCCCUGUUGGCCGGGCACGAGAUCGGUCCCUACUGCAGCGAAGCCUGCAACAAGAUAGCAGUGAAUCUGUCAAACAUGGUGGGAGCCACGACCAGCAUCGGCGAGGAAGGCCACUCAUGGUCCCUGUUAAAGAUCCAGCGGGGCUCCAUGACGUCAGACUCCGCCGCCCUGCUGGAGUGCAAUGCGAAGCUGGCAGUGGCGUUUGGCGUGCUGGAUUUGUGCUUCAACCCUGUGAAGGACCGGCUGACCGGCAUUGACAUGAUUCGCCAGGCCGUCUACAGCGUCGAAUCGGACUUCAAGCGGCUGAGCUAUGAAGGUUUCUACACCAUAGUUCUGCAGAAGGACACGGAGAUCAUAUCAGUGGCCUUGCUCAGGUUCCAUGGCGCCAAGCUGGUGGAGAUGCCGUUCGCGUGCACACUGCCGCAGUACCAUAGACAAGGGAUGAUGCGCCGCCUCGUCAAUGCCAUCGACAAGGUGCUAGAAUCGGUGCAGGUGGAGAAUUUGGUGAUCUCGGCGGUGGCCGAGGUAGUGGACACAUGGAAGAAGCUUGGCUUCAUGACCGUGGAUCCACAGCUGAGAGAUGAGGCCAAGAGGCUCAGCAUGGUCACCAUUGCCGGCACCAUCCUACUCCAGAAGCCCACCGCAUUGCCGAUGACCGAGGACGAGCUGGCGUUCCUGGAGAUGGGCUGGCCGCUCUGCAGCUUCGUCGACCUCUUGAACGGGAUCGCAUUCCCAUGGCCGCCAUAUGCUGACCCCGUGGCCGCUGCCGUGAGGGGGGCGGGCGGCAAGGCGUAG
rnacentral:rRNA from 1 species